UUUCUUUGCUGGCGACCGGCGCACGGGUGAGUAACACGUAUCCAACCUGCCCUUUACUCGGGGAUAGCCUUUCGAAAGAAAGAUUAAUACCCGAUAGCAUAAUGAUUCCGCAUGGUUUCAUUAUUAAAGGAUUCCGGUAAAGGAUGGGGAUGCGUUCCAUUAGGUUGUUGGUGAGGUAACGGCUCACCAAGCCUUCGAUGGAUAGGGGUUCUGAGAGGAAGGCCCCCACAUUGGAACUGAGACACGGUCCAA
rnacentral:rRNA from 1 species